rnacentral:lncRNA from 1 species
UCGAGACUUGUGGAUGUGCUCGAGAUGUUUCGCCAGGCCCCCUCGCACCCUCAGGAGUCCCUCGAGGCCUCUUCUUGCUUUUCUUCCUCGGGGGCUGCCCCUGUGGAUGAGCGUCUGCCCUUGUGCUGACAAAGUUUCGAAGAGCCCGAGGAUCAAAAGACAUACCUGCAAAAAUUUACAAACAUUUUAGAACGAGCACAAGGUCAGGCUAUUUUUCAAAAAAUAAUAAUAAAGGAACAUCCCUACCAUCGACGCCUCUAAUAUCUGCCAGGUCUAUAACCUCUUCCCCAAUCUCCUUCAUCGUCGAGAAAAGGGGGCUGAGCCCGACCAGCAUCCUCCUAUGCUCUUCCAAAACAUCCGGAUAUACCUGGCCCUCACAGAACUUCUCGG